UUUCAAAUGCUUUCGUUUUCGUAAUAUGCGAUACUCAAAACUUAUAAAUAUGUUAUUAAAAUGCAUAUCCUCCGAAGUAUGUUAUCUCUAAUUCGCUUCCACCAAAAAAUUUCAAGAAAAUCAUCAGCCAUCUGAAACUAAUGCCGCUAGGCCCGCUACAAAUACAAUCAUACGAAGUUGCAGCCAACGUUUCGGAAAGAGAGGCGUACAAGGAACCAUGUGCGUAUUCACAUGAAGCGGCCUUUCCUUCAGCCGGAUCAGAAUCACACGUUGACGCAACUCAAUUCAUAACUCGUAAGCAGUCUAUAGAAGAUAUAUUCCCUUCCGUUUGGUCCCCUUCGACCAACUCCAUCAGUGCUUCUCAAUUUUAGCAUUCUUCUUCUUCUUUUGUGGGUUGUCUCUGUUUUCGGUUAAAUGUUCCGAUUUUUUUGUUAUGAUAUGGCUUUUACUUUGCAAAGGAUGUCAAUUUUAUAACUUUUCUAUGUUGAAAUACUCAGUAUAGUUCACUUUGUUUUGGAACUCGGAACCUACUCUAAAACUAUAUCCGAUCAAUGUAUAUUGUAUGUAUGAAGCUUCUUCCUUUUAACACUCAAUCAGUACCAUUUACAUGUAAAUCUUGGGCAAAGAUUAGCACAGUUCUUGAAAUCAUCGUAACCUUGUUUCUCAUAUAAAGAAAUAUCGAAGUUUGCCGAGUAAUGCAACCCGAGAUAAGGUUCCAAGUCGUCCUUUCAGCAUUCAACAGUCACUUCCUUAACCAAAGCAUCACACAGCAACAGCAUAUUCACACUAGGCAAUACUUGCAAUCUUGAAAUCGAUUCAGCCGCAAGCCAAAAGUUUCAGGGAUCAGAAUGAUUCUCCAUUAGGGUUUCGUUUUCUUGGAGAUUUUUCUGAGAGAGGGAUCUUUGGAACGUUUCUCCUUAGUGGUGGGAGAGAAGCUAAGAGAGGAAGGGGGAAGAAGAAGAUAGAUGCACCAAAACGUCAUGCUUUUUUAAGUUGAAUAAAGUGAACUACGUGGCGAAUUUAAGCACGGACUACGAGAAGUGUUGUCUCGGGUGUUGAGGGAUAAACUGCGUGCCGUUUUCGUUAUUUUUGUCUUUAAAAUACCGAUAUAUACGCAUGAGUCCAUGACCACGGCACCGGUUAUAAUUAUAAAUCUCUUAAUUCUAAGUUUCUAACCUUAAUUUAACUAUAUAUUGACCCGCGGUGUACCGCGAGUUGAUUAUUUGUGUUAGAAAUUAAAUUAUUUUUUU
rnacentral:sRNA from 1 species